rnacentral:rRNA from 1 species
AACGAACGCUGGCGGCGCGCCUAAUACAUGCAAGUCGAGCGAGAAGACGUAGCAAUACGUUUGUAAAGCGGCGAACGGGUGAGGAAUACAUGGGUAACCUACCCUCGAGUGGGGAAUAACUAGCCGAAAGGUUAGCUAAUACCGCGUACGCUCCUUGGACUUCGGUUCAUGGAGGAAAGCGAUACCGUGGGUAUCGCGCUCUUGGAUGGGCUCAUGUCCUAUCAGCUUGNGGUGAGGUAACGGCUCACCAAGGCUUCAACGGGUAGCUGGUCUGAGAGGACGAUCAGCCACACUGGCACUGCGACACGGGCCAGACUCCUACGGGAGGCAGCAGUAAGGAAUAUUGCGCAAUGGGCGAAAGCCUGACGCAGCGACGCCGCGUGGGGGA